rnacentral:rRNA from 1 species
GACGAACGCUGGCGGCGUGCUUAACACAUGCCAGUCGAACGGAAAGGCCCUGCUUUUGUGGGGUGCUCGAGUGGCGAACGGGUGAGUAACACGUGAGUAACCUGCCCUUGACUUUGGGAUAACUUCAGGAAACUGGGGCUAAUACCGGAUAGGAGCUCCUGCUGCAUGGUGGGGGUUGGAAAGUUUCGGCGGUUGGGGAUGGACUCGCGGCUUAUCAGCUUGUUGGUGGGGUAGUGGCUUACCAAGGCUUUGACGGGUAGCCGGCCUGAGAGGGUGACCGGCCACAUUGGGACUGGGGUACGGCCCAGACUCCUACGGGAGGCAGGAGUGGGGAAUAUUGCAAAAUGGGCGGAAGCCUGAUGCAGCAACGCCGGGGGGGGGAUGACGGCCUUCGGGUUGUAAACCGCUUUCGCCUGUGACGAAGCGUGAGUGACGGUAAUGGGUAAAGAAGCACCGGCUAACUACGU